rnacentral:lncRNA from 13 species
AUGGUAGGCUGGGUUGAUGUGGGACAGCAUUUGGAACAUAGCCUAGAUCACGUAAACAUCUUCAAAGCUAACCCCAACCAUACUGUUCUGGGUCAAAUCUGUUCUUUUCAACACUAUCAUGCUGACCCCAACCAUACUGUUCUGGGUCAAAUCUGUUCUUUUCAACACUAUCAUGCUGACCCCAACCAUACUGUUCUGGGUCAAAUCUGUUCUUUUCAACACUAUCAUGCUGACCCCAACCAUACUGUUCUGGGUCAAAUCUGUUCUUUUCAACACUAUCAUGCUGACCCCAACCAUACUGUUCUGGGUCAUUUCCAGCAUGGUUCCAGCAGUUAUGGUUUAAUGUGUAACCAGGCCAGGGCAGUCAGUAUAACUUGGUUUGGCUCGGUUCAGCUCGGUAUUGUUCUGGGUCAUUUCCAGCAUGGUUCCAGC